rnacentral:rRNA from 1 species
GACAGAGGAGCCAAGCGUUGUCCGGAUUGACUGGGCGUAAAGCGCACGCAGGCGGUCGUGCACGUGGGGUGUGAAAACUGGCGGCUUAACUGCCAGAGGCCACCUCAUACGGCGCGACUCGAGCCCUGCAGAGGUCCAUGGAAUUGCCGGUGUAGUGGUGAAAUGCGUAGAGAUCGGCAGGAACACCCAGGGGGAAACCAGUGGACUGGGCAGGAGCUGACGCUCAGGUGCGAAAGUGUGGGGAGCGAACAGG